rnacentral:lncRNA from 1 species
AAUCAUUGACUCUAGUGAAGUUACACAAUAUUUGUCCUCUCCUUGAAUUUGCGGCUGUUCACACUCCUUAAUUGUGUUCUUCAUUAUCUCAGCUCCCGCUGAUCCAGGUUUCACUGAAAACUUGUUCAAAAUUUCUGGCAACUUGUCAGAUGAAAAUAGUAUCUUUUGGGCAAUGUGGCGAGGUAAGAAAGUUGCGGUCUCUGUAUUUUCAGUGAAAUGUAGGGGUCAUUGUUGCUCUGGGAUGCAUAUCCUUUUCCAGAAAGAAAAGCAACAUUUGGAUCAUCAUGGACUUGAGUCUCGGUGGCUGCUUAACGGUAAAGAAAUGGUGAUGCGUUAACAUAUACCGGCUUUCCCUUGUGUCCUGUGUUCACAGAUACUCCUCUACCUUUGCCACCCACAUUUACGAAGGUGCCACCCCCUGGCUUUCCAGUGUUCACUCCAACUCCUUGGCCUCCAACAUUCACAUGGGUGCCACCUCCUGGCUUUCGUUUACCGGUGUUCACACUUACUCCACCUUUUCCAACGUUCACAGCCGUGCCCCCAGGCUUCUCUUUUCCUGUAUUGACGUUUGCACUGCCACCCCCUACGUUGAAAGAGGUACCUUUGUUCUCCAUGAAGUCUGCAAAUAUACCAACAUGUGCUAGGAGAGCUCAGAUGAUUUCUUAAUUGUACUAUGAUAUGCUCAUGAAUGCAGCAGUUUACAUAAGUUUUUUCAUGAUAAGUUGAUACAUACAGAACAUAUACUCCAUUCUUUUUCCCAAAAAAGUUGCAAAACAGAACAUAUUUUUGUUCGUACUCUUACAUUAAAUUGCAAAAAACAUAAUAUAUUUUAGCACUUCACAUUUGAACUUUUUGCUGCAGAGAUUACCAGCCUGCUUCCCUGAUUGCAUGAUUGUGUGAUCUGUUAAGAGUAUUAAGCCAAUCCUAUAGGGAAAAGAAAGAUGCGAUCUUCCUAAGUCCUCACUUCCCUGAACCUCUCAAGGUAAGAGUUUUUUCUCAAAAAACCAUGGCGGUGGGGGCAUAAAACUAUUACAGUAGCUGCUUCCUUUUGGUCAGUAAAAAUGAUUUAGGAAAAUGAAUCCUUGGGUAUUAAGCACUCACCAGGAUGUAGCAUAACUUUGACAGCCUUCGGCAUUGGAGUAUUUGGCAGCACAUAGUUCCAACAGUGCCCAGGUGAUAAAACAGCAUGGCUUGCCACCACCGCUAGCUGCGACAGUUAGUUCAAAUCUAACCUCAUUAGUUCUGGCACCCUUCAACGACAAGUAAUGCACAUCAAAAUCCACUUCAAAGACAAAACUUACAGCUAUAAAAGCAAGAACCGGGGAGAGAUGAAACUCCAUAGAGAACCGAGUGUAAGCAAUAGAAAGAACUCAAGAAGAGCAAGACAAAGAGAAAAGAGACUCUAAAACUUAGGGUUGCAUGGAAAAAGAGAUAAGUAUGCUCCAAAUUUAUAAAAAGUGUUCGAGGACCAUUAGACCAAGUACUUAGGAACAACAGUCCAACAGUAUUUUUCGACUGAAAUAAUGUCUCAACUGCCACUGGUUUCACCUAAAUGCAAUUUGUGUCAUGUGGGCUUAGGCUGAGUGAGACGGGGAACGGUGGUGUGUUCAAUUUGCAUUCGCGAACAUAAUUGAUUGGGCCAUGGGUCACCAAUGAUGCCUUCAAUUUGGACGAGUUAGCAGGCUCAACAAGAAUCUGUUUUAAUUUUUGUAGACUUUUUUUUGAAGUUCACUACACUAACAAGUACCCAGUUUUAUGAGGAUUGAAUAUGUGUUCUUACCAGGUAAUUCCCAAAUUUAGCAUGGGUUUUGGCCUUUCUACAUGUUUUCACUAUGACAAUGAACAAUAAUUAUAACAUUUUGGAGUUUUUCAUUCCAGUUACAUCAUUGUCUUUAGUAAAAAUUUUUGGGGUGGGAGAUUGACAGGAUUGUGUUCAGCAGUUGCCCAUCAGUAGAACGUAUUUACGAUAUAACAUCUGCGAGUUUUUCAUCUCGUUGCAUCAUGGUCUUUAGGAAAAAUUUUUGGAGGUGGCAGAUUGACAGGAUUGUGUUCGGUAGUUGCCCAUACGUACUACGUGUUUAUGAUAAUUGUUUGGGAGAUGUCAGAUGAAAUAAGAGCCACCGGAUGUGAAAUACAUGAAUGUUAAUACAGUGUGUGAAAGCUAUGUGCAUGUGAAAGUGCAUUGAAAGAUAAUUCAACUAGCAUAUAAGAUUUGGGAUGCCACCUCCAAAUUAGGAGCUGGAUUUAAGAGGAUUGCUUGCCUAGAAAAUGUUUAAAGCACCUAACAACACCCCAACCUGUAGAGUCCUAACUCCUAAUCUGAUAAGAUUACUACAAGUAUUUUAUCUGUGAAUAUUUAUGAAAUUAUAUAUUAUAAAAUAAAAAGUAAAACACCUAAACCUUUUAAGUUCUCAUCAUAAUUCAAUUUUUCAUUAAGAUUGAAAAUGAAUAACCUGUUUCAAAAAUAUAUAUUCCAUCGGAUUCAUAAAGUUUGUCGUUAUCGAUGUGACAUUAAUUUAAUACUUUUAUUUACUGUUCAUCUCGUCUCAUGACACAUGAAUGCUCUGCUCUGUCAAACCCCCAAACCUCCGUUUCUCCAAAUGCUAAUCCUCCCCUUAAAACACUACUUUCAUGAACAAUUUUCUUAGCCGAUUCCAAUUAGAAAACACAAAAGGAUCUGUACACAAAAAGAAAACACCAGGUGCUGUCUUUUCGCAGCAGCUCUUUUAAACCUGUCUAUGCACCCGUUCCAAAGACCACCAACUCGGCGACCAGCAUCAAUCCCCAUCCUCACAGAAAACCAGCCAGCAAAACAAAAUUUCUCUUUAACUCACAAUCAGAAGUUACAAAUCAACUUCAAAAGUGGAUAAUUGAUUGCAUUGAAGAAGUUCAUUUUAGUCUUGGACAUGGCUAGAGAGUGACAUGUGGGAGGCUAGGUGUCAAUCUGCUAAGCUGUUGCAGAUUUCAAUGGCUUUCAAUAGGUUUUUUUUUUUACCUUUGUGGCAGAUGUGCAGGCAAACCCUUUAGGACAUGACCCCCAUCAAGUGCCAAGAAAAGAGUUGCAUAUACAAAUCCCAGAGAUCAUAGAGUCGUCCAGCCACAACCAAAUUUCCAUUUAGUAUACAACCAAACAAAAACCACAGCUAUCCAACUCCCUGUCCUUGGCAGCUCAAGCUCAUAAAAGUUACCAGCGGUUAACACCAUCACUGUCCUUAGCAGAUUUCAAUAGCUAUGUGGCAUAAAAGAUAAAGCAUUUUCUGCAGAUGAAAUGGUAAGAGGUUUCUGGAAGGAUAUUCCAAGACUAACCUUAUUGGAGUGCUCUAGACUUCUCGUUAGGUAUAAUUUUUCAAUUUAAUUUUAUGAGCAAAAAGAAGAAAAAUUGGCUAAGAGAAGUCGGCUAAAGCUGUCAGGACUUCAACCAAGGAGAAGCGAAGGGAAGGGAAGGGAAGGGAAAGCCAAGGAAAGGAAAUGCCAUGAGAGGGGAGAAAAAAGGUAAGACUUUCGAAGAGAAGAAACGGAUCUAGAGAGAAAGAGUUCAAGGAGAAGAAACGGUUUUAGAGAGAGGAAGAAACUAAGACCAAAAACCUGCGGUGAUUCCGGCUCAGGUGUUUUUAUUUUGAUAGGCAUUUUAGUCUCUUUCUAAAGUCUGUUAACAGCGUUAUUAAUGGACUCAGAUUGAAUUAUAGUUAAAAUUUAAAAAGGUUUGGUAAUUUACCGUAAAAUAAAUCGUUCAAUGAAUCUAUCCCCACCGAAUGAAAAGCCGUGCACCGCCCUUGCACUUUAGGCCAUACGCUCGUGUCAUGGAGAUUGGAAGGUAGAGGUUAGAACUUGGAAGCCAUUUUUCUCCUUUUCUUUUUGAUUAGUCUCUGCUUUUUCUUCUAGGCCUGGAGGCUAGAAGAAGCCUAGAGCCUAAACUCAAAACCUUAAUUUACAUGUUUUUUGGGAAGUCGUUUGGACCAUUUAGGUUCUUUUGGAUUCUGUCUGUGACCCAACAAAUCUAACUUUCCAUGCUGCCGUAGUCUGAGCUUUCAGCCUCUGAAAGAAAUCUAUCCAAUUGUUCCUUUUGGAGUACAUGUGUGCACGACCAGUCAGGGGUUAAGCUUGUGUUUGCUUAACCCCUCAAACCAUGGCACAUAAAAGACUAGAUCCUAGGUUCACUAGUACAACCACGAUAGCAGCCAGGAUAGUUGUUACCUCCUGUAGGAAUAGUAUAUUUUGAUCCACUGUCAGAUGGGCCAUUGCUGAAGAACUUAGUUCCAUCCAGCAAACCCACAGCAAUAGUUCAAAAGUGGUGACCUAAUGACUGCUCACAAUUUUGAGUACAAGGAAUUAGAACGCUUUACAUCUCAUUACAUCUGUUUUCUUCAUGCACCUAAACAUUGCAGUCCAUACAUUUACGAUUAAUGCUUUGAUUUGAAAUUUUUUUGUUGCCUUUUCAGUAUUUUGAUUGAAUUAAACGGUUAAAUUAACUAGCUUUGUCCUUUUGUCCUCUCAUAGAUCUUGAAGGCUGAAUUGAUUGCAAAUGUGCUGAACUUCUGAUAGUUAAUGGUGAUGAAUAUAAAAAGGAAAAAAAACUGUCAGAAAGAUUAAGAAAAAAUUGGAAGACAUGUUUGCAUUAGUCAGUUAGUUCUGAUGAAAUCAUAAAUUUUCUAAUGGUAAAAGAUGAAGAGAAAAUUUUAAGGGAAACUUAGUGUAAUAGACUCUAAUGCACCAGGGCCUUUUCCCUGUUAUGAUAUGAGUGAUUCUAUGUUGAAUUGCCACUCUAAUAGUAACCUUGAUUGCUUGGUUGAUACUUACACUUGAGGGAUCAGAAUGGUUUACAUUACUUCUGUAGCUUGAAUUAAAUGUUUAUUGACAUGCAUCAUCAGAGGACAUCUUUUAUUUUCACCUCAUAUUUAUCUUACUCACUGUCGUAACUUUCAUGUCAGUGUGCUGUUAACCUUGAAAGAACCUUUACGCAUGGAAUGAAUUGAAGGUGCUUUUUCACUUGGGCUACUUCAACAAAACAAAUUUAUGUGAUGGUGCUGCUUUGCUGUCAGGUAUGACCACAUUUCAUUGCUGACAUUUCUGGCCCUUUCUUGCUAGUUUUGAGUCCCAGCAAACUUUGUGUUGUUGUCACUGUCGUAACUUUCAUGUCAGUGUGCUGUUAACCUUGAAAGAAACCUUUAGGUGUGGAAUGAAUUGAAGGUGCUCUUUCACUUGGGCUACUUCAACAAACCAAAUUUAUGUGACGGUGCUGCUUCGCCGUCAGGUAUGACCACAUUCCAUUGCUGACAUUUCUGGCCCUUUCUUGCUAGUUUUGAGUCCCAGCAAACUUUCAGUAUUUGUUAUAUAUGUAUGCAUGUAUGUAUUUAUGUUUUAAUUUCUAUCUGAGCCAUGAUUCUUCUUUAAAUGUGGUUAUUUUCUAGCCUUCUAAUCAGUGACUUUCAAGAUUCAUGAGGGUGAAAAAUCUGCCAUCCAAUCCACCCCAUCAUCUUUAUUACUUCAUUACUUGCAACAUCCUGAGGCUUUCAUGGCUAAUCAUUUGGGCAAAUGUGUCUUUUGGAUGCGUUGAUUGUUUCCAGGAACCUAAGUGGCCCCUCUUUCUUUUCCCCAUGAAUUUACCAUCAUUCACAUGUCAAUGAUAUAUAUCAUUGUUAUUGAAUUGUCUUUUCAUUUGGUUAUUUGUUUUUAGUACCUUCUCAAGUGGUUUUCAUCAUGGGAUAGAACUCUAAUAGAUUUACCACCAAACCGUUGUGAUACAAAAAGUAACACCAUUUUAUCUAUUACUGAGUACAUGAUUCAUCAUUCAUUACAAAAGUGAACAUAUAGAUUGUGGAUAACUAAACCCGUGGGUUUGAGGUAUAUUAUUAUAGAACAAACUGGAUAUGGCUUUAAGCUGUUUUAAUGCACACUAUACUUAGUUGACUGAUGAAAUUAAAGGGUCUCAGUGUACUCUUCAGGCUUUUACUUGGGGAUCCAAACAAUGUGAUCCUGAGGAAGGAAAUGGCAGAUAGGAAUGGUUCCUGGCUCAACUUUAAGGACUUGGAAAGCCAAAUGCUUUGGGUUCCAUGCUGAUGUAUCUGUGUGGCAGAUUGCUACUGCUUUGGCUUUUGUCCCGUCAGCACCCUCCAAAUGAACCAUGUAAGCCCUUGUUGUUUCUGAUUUGUGGCAAUAGAAGACAGCAUAUGCAUAAUUCUGCUUAUGGCACACUACAGAUUUGUCACCUCCCAUCUUCUGCACUCCAGCUGCUAUUGUGUACUUCUGUUCGGGGGUUUGUUUUUGCACCUCUGUAGAGAUUGCGUAAGCAUUUUUCCCGAUCUUGGAAGUACUAAAGUCAAUCAUUGACUCUAGUGAGGUUGCACAAUAUUUGUCCUCUCCUUGAAUUUGGGGCUGUUCACACUCCUUAAUUGUGUUCUUCAUUAUCUCAGCUUCCGCUGAUCCAGGUUUCACUGAAAACUUGUUCAAAAUUUCUGGCAACUUGUCAGAUGAAAAUGGUAUCUUUUGGGCAAUUUGGCGAGGUAAGAAAGUUGCCGUCUCUGUAUUUUCAGUGAAAUGCAGGGUCAUUGUUGCUCUGGGAUGCAUAUCCUUUUCCAGAAAGAAAAGAGCAACAUUUGGAUCAUCAUGGACUUGAGUCUCGGUGGCUGCAUAAAUGUACUUAAAUGGUGAGGCUUUAAC